GGGUGCGAUCAUACCAGUGUUAUUGCACCGGAGCCCAUCUUAACACCGCAGUUAAGCGUGCUUGGGCUAGAGUAGUACUAGGAUGGGUGACCUCCCGGGAAGUCCUAGUGUUGCACCCU
rnacentral:rRNA from 1 species